UGGGGGGUGUGAGAAGGCAGGGGGAAGCAAAAGAAUGAGAUCACAGCUUAUUAUUAGGAAAUGUAUGCAACAGGAAAAAAAUGUUAUGGAAAAUACAUUGUACCCUGUAAAGACGUGACAGGAGAAAUACAGUAAAAUAUACUUGUGCACUUCUUUUAAUCUACGUUCAGAAGAAAUAUUCUAACAAUUGCGGACACAACACCUCAGCUUGUUUUUGUGAAGCAACCUGGACUAUGCUAUGGCUAACAGUUGCAGAACAAGCAGAUUAAAGGACUUGCUCAGGAUCACACAGCCCCUUCUCUUCUGAGCAGCAGCGAGCAGCUGCCUCUCCCACACACAAGUAGCCCUUCACAAACACCCAAG